UAAUACUGGAUCUAAAAAUGUGA
rnacentral:piRNA from 1 species